rnacentral:rRNA from 1 species
CUAUGUUGGCCGGGCGACGGUUGUCCCGGUUUAAGCGUGUAGGUGUGUGUUCCAGGUAAAUCCGGUUCACUUUAACACUGAGGCGUGACGACGAGGCACUACGGUGCUGAAGCAACAAAUGCCCUGCUUCCAGGAAAAGCCUCUAAGCAUCAGGUAACAUCAAAUCGUACCCCAAACCGACACAGGUGGUCAGGUAGAGAAUACCAAGGCGCUUGAGAGAACUCGGGUGAAGGAACUAGGCAAAAUGGUGCCGUAACUUCGGGAGAAGGCACGCUGACACGUAGGUGAAGUGAUUUACUCAUGGAGCUGAAGUCAGUCGAAGAUACCAGCUGGCUGCAACUGUUUAUUAAAAACACAGCACUGUGCAAACACGAAAGUGGACGUAUACGGUGUGACGCCUGCCCGGUGCCGGAAGGUUAAUUGAUGGGGUCAGCGCAAGCGAAGCUCCUGAUCGAAGCCCCGGUAAACGGCGGCCGUAACUAUAACGGUCCUAAGGUAGCGAAAUUCCUUGUCGGGUAAGUUCCGACCUGCACGAAUGGCGUAAUGAUGGCCAGGCUGUCUCCACCCGAGACUCAGUGAAAUUGAACUCGCUGUGAAGAUGCAGUGUACCCGCGGCAAGACGGAAAGACCCCGUGAACCUUUACUAUAGCUUGACACUGAACAUUGAGCCUUGAUGUGUAGGAUAGGUGGGAGGCUUUGAAGUGUGGACGCCAGUCUGCAUGGAGCCGACCUUGAAAUACCACCCUUUAAUGUUUGAUGUUCUAACGUGGACCCGUUACCCGGGUUGCGGACAGUGUCUGGUGGGUAGUUUGACUGGGGCGGUCUCCUCCUAAAGAGUAACGGAGGAGCACGAAGGUUGGCUAAUCCUGGUCGGACAUCAGGAGGUUAGUGCAAUGGCAUAAGCCAGCUUGACUGCGAGCGUGACGGCGCGAGCAGGUGCGAAAGCAGGUCAUAGUGAUCCGGUGGUUCUGAAUGGAAGGGCCAUCGCUCAACGGAUAAAAGGUACUCCGGGGAUAACAGGCUGAUACCGCCCAAGAGUUCAUAUCGACGGCGGUGUUUGGCACCUCGAUGUCGGCUCAUCACAUCCUGGGGCUGAAGUAGGUCCCAAGGGUAUGGCUGUUCGCCAUUUAAAGUGGUACGCGAGCUGGGUUUAGAACGUCGUGAGACAGUUCGGUCCCUAUCUGCCGUGGGCGCUGGAGAACUGAGGGGGGCUGCUCCUAGUACGAGAGGACCGGAGUGGACGCAUCACUGGUGUUCGGGUUGUCAUGCCAAUGGCACUGCCCGGUAGCUAAAUGCGGAAGAGAUAAGUGCUGAAAGCAUCUAAGCACGAAACUUGCCCCGAGAUGAGUUCUCCCUGAGACUUUAGGUCUCCUGAAGGAACGUUGAAGACGACGACGUUGAUAGGCCGGGUGUGUAAGCGCAGCGAUGCGUUGAGCUAACCGGUACUAAUGAACCGUGAGGCUUAACCUUACAACGCCGAAGAUGUUUUGGCGGAUGAGAGACGAUUUUCAGCACUGAUUCNNNNNNNNNNNNNNNNNNNNGGAUGAGAGACGAUUUUCAGCACUGAUUCAGAUUACAUCAGAACGUAAAAACGGUCUGAUAACAGAAUUUGCCUGGCGGCAGUAGCGCGGUGGUCCCACCU